GAUAAUUUAACUAACCAUCGCCGAUUUUUUCUCACUAAAGCGACACAUAUCUCUCGUGAUACAGACGCGGCGGCGUGCGGCCAUGGCACGAUCCAUCGGCGAUUCGGCCGCGACGCCGGCACGAUCCAUCGGCGAUUGGGCCACGACGCGAGGCGCGGUGGCUACAGGCAAUCCGGCGACGAGGGUGUGGUGGUUCAUUGGCCGAUCGGCGACGACGGCGUGGUGGUUCUUCAGCCGAUCGUCCUCCUUAUUGUUGUGAGCCAGGCGUACGAGAACCGUAUCAAUCAUGGCAGAGGUUUCCGGGCUUCCGGCCGUAACCUGGAGGCAAACCGUCCAACGAUGGCAGCUGCUCACACGGAUCCUCGAUCGACGAUGGUGUCUAGUCAAUGAAUCACGGCCACAACAUCCGGUAGAAACGCGUACUGCACCAUGUCUAUGGUUAUUUGAUUUCAGGUUUAGAGCUAAUAUCGAUCUGCCAAAAAUCAGAGGCGACACCUAAGGCAUUUGUUCCAACCACUUAUUUCUGAAUAGAUUCUGAAUUUUUCAGCAGCAUAUAUAUCUACCUCUUAUUUCUUUUUCUCUAUUUUUCGAUCGACUAGUUGAUUCUGAAUCCUGUGAGCAUGAGCUCAUAUAUAUAUCUCUUGUUUUUUUGUAUUUGUAG
rnacentral:lncRNA from 1 species